UGGAAUUAAAAAUGGGCAAUCCUGAGCCAAAUCCUGUUUUACNNAAAAAUAAACAAAGGUUCAGAAAGAAUUUAAAUNNNAAAAAAAGGGAUAGGUGCAGAGACUCAAUGGAAGUUGUUCUAACAAAUGGGGUUUGACUACCNNNNNNUUUGCGUUAGUAAAGAAAUCCUUCUAUCGAAACUACAAAAAGGAUGACCUAUACGCAUAUCUAAAGGAGAUAUAAAACUAUCUCNAAAAAAAGACGACCCAAACCCGUAUUUAGAUAUAUAUAUUUUUAUGAAAAAUAGAAAUAUAAAAAAAAAAAGAAUUGUUGUGAAUUAGUAUUGAUUCUAAGUUGAAGAAGGAAUCAAAUACAACAUUCAUUNAAAAAAANAAUUCACCNNNNNCCGUAGUUUGAUAAAUCUUUUGAACAACUGGUUAAUCGGACGAGAAUAAAGAUAGAGUCCCGUUCUACAUGUCAAUACUGACAACAAUGAAAUUUAUAGU
rnacentral:tRNA from 1 species